rnacentral:ribozyme from 1 species
AAAAGAGAAAAGAAAGAGGAAGAAUUAGAAGAAAAUUCCCGUGUUGCAUCCACGUCUUUUUUUUAAUCCUUCCUUUCUUU